UGCGGUUGAUCCUGCCGGACCUGACUGCUAUCUGAUUGGUACUAAGCCAUGCGAGUCGUCGUACAAUACAAGGCGGACUGCUCAGUAACACGUAGUUAACUUAACUUAUGGAUGGGAAUAACCUCGGGAAACUGAGAAUAAUACCCAAUGGGCCACAGUGCCUGGAAUGGCCUGUGGUUGGAAUGAUUUAUCGCCGUAGGAUAGGACUGCGGCCUAUCAGCUUGUUGGUGAGGUAAUGGCCCACCAAGGCUAUAACAGGUACGGGCUCUGAGAGGAGGGGCCCGGAGAUGGGUACUGAGACACGGACCCAGGCCCGAUGGGGCGCAGCAGGCGAGAAACCUUUGCAAUGUGCGAAAGCACGACAAGGUUAAUCCGAGUGUCUCCUGCUAAAGGAGUCUUUUGUCAGUCGUAGAAUCACUGGUGAAUAAGGGGUGGGCAAGUUCUGGUGUCAGCCGCCGCGGUAAAACCAGCACCUCGAGUGGUCAGGAGGUUUAUUGGGCCUAAAGCAUCCGUAGCCGGUUGCAUAAGUUUUCGGUUACAUCUAUGCGCUUAACGUAUAGGCCGCCGAAAAUACUGUGCAGCUAGGGAGUGGGAGAGGUUCACGGUACUCGAUAGGCAGGGGUAAAAUCUUUGGUCUAUUGAAGACCACUGUGGCGAAGCGGUUACCAGACCCGUCCC
rnacentral:rRNA from 1 species